AAAAGAUAAGCUAAUUAAGCUAAUGGGCUCAUACCCCAUUUAUAAAGGUUCUAAUCCUUUUCUUUUUAA
rnacentral:tRNA from 1 species